ensembl:lncRNA
GUUACAUCAUUACAUUUAUUGGGCUUUACAUUUAUUAUUAACAGAGAUAUUUCUCAUUACUGCCUGCAGACCUCAAUUAAUUUCUCUUCUUUAUCCUUUUAAUUCUGUCAUUCUCUUUCUUAUGGCAUCCUCUGCUAACUUAAAACAAAGAAACUCUGGCAGACAAUAAAAUAGGUGCCUGGAAUUUGCCCCUGACUACUGCCACCGGGGUGGGGAGGGAUGCUGAGUGUCCCAUUGCACCUCUGCAACUGCACCCAGCAUGUGCCAGUGGCCAGACCUGCAGCAGGAUUCCAACUGCAACGGGUGUGCAAGUGAGCAGGGCAGCAUGACCCAUCAGCAAGAUCACAUUUGAGGAGGGGCUCAGAGGAGGAUUGCGGCUCAUGAAUAAUGCUAGAAGCAGAAAUAGCUGACAGUGCCUGCAAGAGGGGACAGGGAGUACUGCUAUUUGAUUUGCAGCUUGAUGACGUGAAGGUUCCUGCACAGAAGAUUGGUACACAUAAAAACUAACCUCAUCAGCCAAACCAGGGCAGCUCUGAAAAGCCAGGAAAGAAAAUCAUUGAGGGACUCCUCGGGAGAAGGGACCUGGGACGAGCAGGCAGCACGGUGCUGGGACUGCUGGUUGCUCGGGGCACAGGGCUGAUGCUCAUCCAGGCUCCUAUGCUCCUUGGAGGGACUUGGAAAACAGGAAUUGGUCUCCUGCUGGUUGCAGGAGGGCACUGAUUGCGUUGGCCUGCGAGCUGCGAUUCAAAGACAGGAAGCAUUCCAGGUGGUGUUUGGGGCAGUGUGAUCUGGAUCUGGAGGUGACUUGUAAUAAAUACCAAUAAAUAACGUGUGGCAAACAUGUGAUGGCCCGUGGAACACCGAUAGACGUGGCACGACCAAAGGGUGGCUCUGAUGGCCCUGUGUGCUGGUUGGGGUGGCAGCUGUGUGGAUGCCCUACAGAGGCCAGAAGCUGCAGACACAAUAUGCACCCGCAGAGGCACACACUCCAAAUAGCAGCAGCUCCUCUGCACAAAGCAAAGCAGUUCUUAGCAAGGAAAACUGCAGACUUUGUACAGAUCUACAAAUCCCAGUGUGAGCCAUGAACCCGGGCAAUGCGCACAGCCUGCGUCUGCAGCUGGGCAGGGCACUGAGCUCUGCAGGCACCUGGCAACGAGCAGCGCCGUGUGCUCAGUCCUGCAGCAAGGCAGACGGAGCUGUAAUGAUUUCCCGUGGUUUGGGUAUUUCUCCCCCACUGUUUGUGCUGGGGAGGAAUUAGCACAGCGCGUGUUGGAGAUAGCAAACCUCGCAGCAGAGCCGCUGACAGGGGAGCUGUUCCCACAGGACUGGCAUCACGGAGCGGUCAGGGCUCACCUGAAAAUGAAACAUCUGAUUUUUCCAGAGAAAUUAAAUGCAACUCCCUAACGAGGUUUGCUUGAUUGAGUCGGAAUUUUCUGGGUUCGGAGUAUAUUCCGUCCUAUGAAUCAUGUCAGUUAAACAAAUUAAAUGGCAGAGAAAUGAAUACAUGCUACGUAUAAAUAUCCUUUAAUGCACCCACCUGGAGGUCG